rnacentral:lncRNA from 1 species
UUUAACCAGAAGAUUCUUUUUCCUCUCUAUCAAGUCAUCACUUUCCACAUUUUAUGGAAAGAAGUUUUAUCUUUUCUUGUUAAGCUAUUGGUGAAUUUUUAACUUUGGGGUUUUGUUUCGGAUAGGUAUUGGGAGAAGGAGAGGCUGUCAACCCAUGCCACUAUGCUAUCUCUAAUUCUGCCAUCCAGACCGAGCAAACGUACUUAAGACCUUUGUGUAAGAUCAGAAAAUCAUAAGACAGCAUUAAAAAGUACUAUACAGGAGGAGAUGGAACAAGAUGGCCAAAUAGAAGCCUCCAGCAAUCAUCUCCCCGAAAGGAAUUGAACAACUAUCAAAACAAAAUUGAACAACUAUCUAAACAAAAAAGUACCUUCAUAAAAAACAAAAAUCAGGACAAUAUCAGAACGGCACAUACAAGUGUCCCCAAGUCAUAUUUGGAAUAAGAUCACUUGGGAACACAAGUCAAAGAAGGACACAGUGUUCUGCCUCUCCUGAGUAAGCAGCAACAACGCACCAUCUUGGAAUCAGGGGACGGCCCUCACCAGACAACUAAAUCUGCAGACACCUUGGACUUCCCAGCCUCCAGAACUGUCUUUCUGGCAACUGUCUAAACAUAAACCAGAGAAGGGCAAGGCAGACUCAGGAAGGACAAAUAGAAGGCUAUUUUCAUAAAUCGGACCACCACCACAUGUGCAGCAUCCCUCUGGGUCUCUUCCAUGACAACCCUGUGGGAAGCCAGCUUGGCAGGUCACCUUGUUCUAGCAGAUAGAAACUGAAUCAAUAUGGGAAGAGCCAGAAUUUGGACAAGGUUCACCAAACAUUCACACUGAUGCCAGGUGGGCCAAGAAAAAGGGAAUGUCCUGCCUCUGAGAAACUCAUCAUACAGUUUGGAGAUAACAUUUGUUGAAGGAGAGAAGAAAAGAGGAGAGAGGAAUGGAGUGAGGCAGAAAGGAAAUGAUGACGAGCUACUCUUCAAAAUUAAGCUGGAUAACAACAAGAAAUUCUAGAAAGCAAUUGAGGCAACCUCCACCCUAAGACCCAGGUAAACCCUACAUUUAAAGUGCUGUUCUGGGGCACAGUGAAAGAUUUCUGCCAGAAAAUUUGCUCCCUAGGAUUUACAUGAUGAUGAGAUUACAUGCUGCCUUGUGGCAACAAAAUCAAAAGUCUGUAAAAGAAAAAGCGUGCUAUGCUUCUGAAUGUUUGGAGAUCCUACAAUAGAUUUUUCAUUCAGCUAUUUUGUUGCUGCUUCAUGAGCACA